GAUGACUUGGAUAAGCAGAUAAUAAGUGCCAUUUCUGAUAGUUUUGGGAAAGACAUAUUGUGUAAAACUUUGCUUGUCCUCACCCAUGCACAACUCUGCCCACCGGAUGAUCUCAGUUAUGAUGUUUUUUCGGCUAGAAGAUCAGAGGCUGUCUUAAAGACCAUUCGUGCAGGAUCAAGGAUGAGGAGAAGAGAGUUUGAGGAUUCUGCCAUUCCAGUUGGUUUGGUUGAGAAUAGUGGGAGAUGCAAUAAAAAUGAGAGUGAUGAAAAGAUUCUCCCAAAUGGCGAGGCUUGGAUACCCAGCUUGGUAAAAGAAAUCAUUGGGGUUGCCACAAAUGGGAACAAAUCCAUUGUUGUUGACAAGAAGUUGAUAGAUGGGUCAGAGUCAAAUGACAGGGGGAAGGUGUUGAU
rnacentral:misc_RNA from 1 species